GAUGAACGCUGGCGGCGUGCCUAAUACAUGCAAGUCGAGCGAACAGAUGAGGAGCUUGCUCCUCUGACGUUAGCGGCGGACGGGUGAGUAACACGUGGAUAACCUACUUAUAAGACUGGGAUAACUUCGGGAAACCGGAGCUACUACUGGAUCAUAUAUCGUACCGCAUGGUUCAAUAGUGAAAGACGGUUUUGCUGUCACUUAUAGAUGGAUCCGCGUCGCAUUAGCUAGUUGGUAAGGUAACGGCUUACCAAGGCAACGAUGCGUAGCCGACCUGAGAGGGUGGUCGGCCACACUGGAACUGGGGCACGGUCCAGACUCCUACGGGGAGCAACAGUAGGGAAUCUUCCGCAAUGGGCGGAAGCCUGACGGAGCAACGCCGCGUGAGUGAUGAAAGUCUUCGGAUCUUAAAACUCUUUUAUUAGGGAAGAACAAGUGUGUAAGUAACUAUGCACGGCUUGACGGUACCUAAUCAGAAAGCCACGGCUAACUACGGG
rnacentral:rRNA from 1 species